rnacentral:rRNA from 1 species
UACGGGGGGAGCAAGCGUUGUUCGGAUUUACUGGGCGUAAAGGGCGCGUAGGCGGCCAGCACAAGUCAGUUGUGAAAUCUCCGAGCUUAACUCGGAAAGGUCAACUGAUACUGUGCGGCUAGAGUGCAGAAGGGGCAACUGGAAUUCUUGGUGUAGCGGUGAAAUGCGUAGAGAUGUGGAGGAACACCAGUGGCGAAGGCGACUCUUUGGCCUGUAACUGACACUGAGGCGCGAAAGCGUGGGGAGCAAACAGG